GGAAAGAGGCAGGAGGGAUACAGGGAUGACUCAAAUAAGCAUCUUCCCCUUCACGUAACUCAGCCUGGCGGAAACUUAGCUGGCUCCCUGCCUGUCCUAGGCCCUCUCGCUUUUCCUUCUGGUCUCCUCAUUGUCUGUUUCUUUGCUGACCCUGGCCUUUAGCCCUAUGCCCACGGAAAGACAUCCCCAUCACCUCUCCCAUCGUUUCCGGGUGAAGAUUCUCUGGGACAGAUCCCUAGAAUGAACAACCUGAACAACCUUCUCUCCUGAGGUCUCGCCUAUUGCCUCCUCAUUUACCAGAAAUGUUUCCCUCCCUGAAGCUGAGAGAGAAAGAGAGAGAGAUCCAAACACAGCCAACCCAGGCCAGAAUCUCCUGGAGAGUUCUUUGGAGUGUGGAGUGACUGACUGAUUCAUCUAGUGGACCAGUUGACUAUCUUCCCAGCUGUGAGAUAGAAAGAAGCUGAGGAGUGCACACAAAAAUUUUAAAAAAUUUUUUAAAAGGCAGGGGCGGGGGCUGGACGCAGUGGCUCACUCCUGUCCGUAAUCCCAGCACUUUGGGAGGCCAAGGUUGGCAGAUCACCUGAGGUCAGGAGUUCGAGACCAGCCUGGCCAACAUGGUGAAACCCCAUCUCUACUAAAAGUACAAAAAUUAGCCGGGCAUGGUGGCAGGUGCCUGUAAUCCCAGCUACUCCAGAGGCUGAGGCAGGAGAAUCGCUUGAACUCAAGAGAUGGAGGUUGCAAUAAGCCUCCACUGCACUCCAGCCUGGGUGACAAAGCAAGACUCUAUCUCAGAAAAACAAGUAAAAAUUAAAAAGAACUGAGGACACUCAGCCUGUCUCCCAGGGAUCCCAUGCAGAAUUAUUCCCAGCUCUCACUCCCCCUCUCACCCUCACCAUCAAUCAUCACCAUCACACCAGGCCAUGGAAGAUGUGUCAGUGCAGAUAUCUGUAUAGAGAUGUAUGAGCACAGAACAGAGUGAGUGACAGCAUGCCAUUUACAUACAGGUGACUGCGCUGUGGGCCUUUGGUUACUUACCUCACCUCUCUUCUUUCUUUCUUUCUUUUUGAGAUGGAGUUUCGCUGUUGUUACCCAGACUGGAGUGCAAUGGCAAGAUCUCGGCUCACCGCAACCUCCGCCUCCUGGGUUCAAGCAAUUCUCCUGCCUCAGCCUCCUGAGUAGCUGGGACUACAGGAGUGAAAAGUGGCUCCUCACUGAAAGGCUGGCAGUCCCCAGGGUUCGAAUUGUAACACAGAUACCAUCUUCUGUCCUGCCUCUAAAACUUAAAUACCGGUGACCCAAAGUCUCCAUUGAAACGGAUUGAGACCCGCGGGUUGUGAAACCUACUGAAGUGAGCGGCUGUGCCAGGACUCCUGGGACCCCGACCUCUUUGCAGCUCGCACCGCUAACCGCGAGGGCGCCCUUCAGCAGAAGCAGCCCACCGCAGACACGCCGAGGGAGGAAGGCUGCCGGCGUCGGGGCUUGGGAACUGGCCGGCACCCAGGCCGAAAAGCACGUGGGCUGAGCGGGAGCGGAGAAGAGUGCGCAGGUCAGAGAGCGGCGCGCGGCGCGGUUCCGCG
ensembl:lncRNA